CCCACCAUAGUUUAUUUAAAACGUCGACCUGCAAAAUCGAAAAAAGAAUCGCCUUCUUGGUGUGU
rnacentral:tRNA from 1 species